GAUGAACGCUGGCGGCGUGCCUAAUACAUGCAAGUCGAACGAAACUUCUUUAUCACCGAGUGCUUGCACUCACCGAUAAAGAGUUGAGUGGCGAACGGGUGAGUAACACGUGGGCAACCUGCCCAAAAGAGGGGGAUAACACUUGGAAACAGGUGCUAAUACCGCAUAACCAUAGUUACCGCAUGGUAACUAUGUAAAAGGUGGCUAUACUACCGCUUUUGGAUGGGCCCGCGGCGCAUUAGCUAGUUGGUAGGGUGAAGGCUUACCAAGGCAAUGAUGCGUAGCCGAAUUGAGAGGUUGAUCGGCCACAUUGGGACUGAGACACGGCCCAAACUCCUACGGGAGGCAGCAGUAGGGAAUCUUCCACAAUGGGCGAAAGCCUGAUGGAGCAACGCCGCGUGGGUGAAGAAGGUCUUCGGAUCGUAAAACCCUGUUGUUAGAGAAGAAAGUGCGUGAGAGUAACUGUUCACGUUUCGACGGUAUCUAACCAGAAAGCCACGGCUAACUACGUG
rnacentral:rRNA from 1 species